rnacentral:rRNA from 1 species
AUUGAACGCUGGCGGCAGGCUUAACACAUGCAAGUCGAGCGGGGGAAGGUAGCUUGCUACCGGACCUAGCGGCGGACGGGUGAGUAAUGCUUAGGAAUCUGCCUAUUAGUGGGGGACAACAUCUCGAAAGGGAUGCUAAUAGCGCAUACGUCCUACGGGAGAAAGCAGGGGAUCUUCGGACCCUGCGCUAAUAGAUGAGCAUAAGUCGGAUUAGCUAGUUGGUGGGGUAAAGGCCUACCAAGGCGACGAUCUGUAGCGGGUCUGAGAGGAUGAUCCGCCACACUGGGACUGAGACACGGCCCAGACUCCUACGGGAGGCAGCAGUGGGGAAUAUUGGACAAUGGGGGUAAUCCUGAUCCAGCCAUGCCGCGUGUGUGAAGAAGGCCUUAUGGUUGUAAAGCACUUUAAGCGAGGAGGAGGCUACUUUAGUUAAUACCUAGAGAUAGUGGACGUUACUCGCAGAAUAAGCACCGGCUAACUCUGUGCCAGCAGCCGCCGUAAAAC